UACAGAGGCCUCGAGCGUUAGGCGGAAUCACUGGGCUUAAAGCGUGUGUAGGCGGACUUCUAAGUACCUUGUGAAAUCCCACGGCUCACCCGUGGAACUGCUCGGUAUACUGGUCGUCUUGAGCCUUCUAGGGGCGAGUGGAACAAAUGGUGGAGCGGGUGAAAAUGCGUAGAUAUCAUUUGGAACGCCAAUGGUGAAAACAACUCGCUGGGGAAGUGCUGACGCUGAGACACGAAAGCCAGGGGAGCGAACGGG
rnacentral:rRNA from 1 species